rnacentral:lncRNA from 1 species
UCUCUUGUGCCACGGUGGCCCAAAUGUCAGUCAACCAGACAUGUCUUCUGAGAGGUAAGUUUUUGAAAAAUACUAGACUUUUCUCAAAUGUAUUUCUUUACAGGAAUAAAAAGAAAGCUAAUUUUGCAUGAGCAUGCAGGAAGUCUGCAGACAGACAUUCUACAUAGUCCCUUGGGGACUCAGUAGAAGUGGAAUCAAGACCAACCCAAGCCCAACAAGGCAGCUCCGCUGGUUAAUGCCUCCCAGAUCUGUCAUCUGUGAUAAAGAGCCUCGCUGUAGCUGAGGAGCUGGCCAAGAACCUUUCCCAGUUAGCCAAGUUGGUGAAGAAGUCACAUGUGGUGAAUAUAUUAUCAUCAGAAUGCGGAGCAAUGAAAUGUAAACAGAUAGGAAUCGUCACUAAAGCUCCAACUGCAGCCUCCGGGUGCCAUAGCUUUUGCACCAUCCAUUUGCACCAUCUCUGCGUUGCUCUCAAUCACUGCCACGAGUCUGGUGAUGCGCUAAGCUCGGGGCAGGAUCUCAAGGGCUUUGAGGAUGUCUGCAUCAUCUGUAUUGACCUGCUCCCCAGAUUAAUACCGAAGCACUGCAAUUUCUUGAGGAUUAUCCACCUAGGAGGAAAUGAUACGCUGGCCCAUCCAUAGUAGUCAAGAAACAGUCUGAGAUCCAAAAAGUGGCUUAAAAGAGGGAAAAGUUAAUCAAAAUGUCUGUGAAGCUCUGGCUUCAGUCUCUCCAGCGAGGCUUUCUGAAGCACAGCUCUGAUAGAACUAAACCCAAUGAGACACCGCCUACAAGAGGAAUCCAGCGUGUGAACGAAGACUAAAAAGCAAAACAGCAGCGUCUGGAGUGGACAGCUUCUCUCACUCAGAGAACUGUAGCCUCAAAUUCCUGGCAGAGGUUUCUUGGAAGAGAAGAAUGAGAUUGGAUCUGAGAAAAUGUGGCUGGGAACCACCAUCUCAGAUGGUAGAAACCACUCAGAAGGAUCAACUGCUGCAGACGGGAAGAGGAGCAACCUCGUGAAUAAUUUCGUGACAGGAUAUUGCAGGAGGGACUUUGUCCAAAUGUGUGCAGGGUAGUUGGCUACAGCAACAAGGAUGACGAACACAGAUGAAUUGAUCAGGAUGUAACCAUUCAAAGUUGAGAGGAUUAGAGGACUUCUCCGAGGCGGCUCCAAUGGAUGCCAGCAGAGUUAAAGUGUCCAAUGGAGAGAAGAGAAGGCUUGGGAAAUCCAGAGUCCAUUCAUUCAUCGCCCUCCUCCUAGAACAACAAAAGCGAGCCCCAGUACUCAUCAGCAUGGACUCGAACAGGAAUUCUGAUCCAACAUGUGCUCAGACAUCAUUUCAGUCACUUGCAAAUGAACAAGAAAGCUCAUGUAAAUGAGGAGGCUCAACUCCCAGGCCUGGUGAGUGGGUAAGACAUUCCUCUGCUGGGUUUUGAAGGCUGUCUGAAACCAUCGGCUGACAUCCUUCUCUGUGUGCAUGUAUGCACUAUCUACGGGAAAUUCAGCUCCAACCGGUUGUCUCUACAGCUCCCUUAAUCUUCUCCUCCCUCCUCCUGGCAUUGGCAUGUGUCCCAGGACUGCAGCGAGGAGUGCUUACCAACAAAGGUGCUGGCAUCUGCAUUUGUUUCACAGCCACAAACCUAAUGGUUCCAUGAUUUUGGCGAGCAAAACUGUCAAAAUGCCUGAGCACAAGAGAUCACAAGAUGAGCCAAGGCAUAGUGUGCAUGCCUUCCUUCCCAGCACUCGGAAGGCAGAGGCAAGGGGAUCUCUGUGGGUUCAAGGCCAGCCUGAAUCACAAGGUGUACUGGGGAUUCUUUUUUAUUGUUUUCCUUUUGCUAUCUGGAAUAGUUUGAGAUUGUAUUUGAUCAGUGCAUUAAACAACCAAUUA